rnacentral:lncRNA from 1 species
GUAGAUCAUAGGUGGAACCAACAUGGUCUAGGUGGAGAUAAUUUUCGUGGACUCUGCCGAGAUUUGCACCCUGGUCCGGUUAGCCUGUUGCAUUGGAGUGGAAAGGGGAAGCCUUGGGUUCGACUCGAAUCGAACCAUCCUUGUCCCCUAGAUGCCCUCUGGGCACCUUAUGAUCUGCUGCAAACACCUUAUAAUCUUGAAUCUUAAGGUACUUUACUCAAUCCCAUAAUGCCGCGCUUAUUUGAAUUGUCUGAUCAUCUUAUUCAAUAGUCUUAUAAACUAUUAGAAAUAAUACAUAUUUUCGAACCGCCCUUGUCCCCUAGAUGCCCUCUGGGCACCUUAUGAUCUACUGCAAACACCUUAUACUCUUGAAUCUUAAGGUACUUUACUCAAUACUAUUACGCCGCGUUUGUUUGAAUUGUCUGAUCAUCUUAUUUAAUAGUCUUAUAAACUAUUAGAAAGAAUACAUAUUUUAUUUAUGACAGGCUUCUGCAGUUUAUGUAAUUAACCUGAUAAUUGCAUCUAAUGAUCUUUCUUAUGUUCUUGAAGUGCCCUAAUAGGCUUCUAUUAUUGUUUCAG